rnacentral:rRNA from 1 species
CCUACGGGUGGCAGCAGUGGGGAAUAUUGCACAAUGGGGGAAACCCUGAUGCAGCAACGCCGCGUGAGUGAAGAAGUAUUUCGGUAUGUAAAGCUCUAUCAGCAGGGACGAAAAUGACGGUACCUGCGUAAGAAGCCCCGGCUAACUACGUGCCAGCAGCCGCGGUAAUACGUAGGGGGCAAGCGUGAUCCGGAUUUACUGGGAGUAAAGGGAGCGUAGACGGCGAUACAAGUCUGAAGUGAAAGCCCGGGGCUCAACCCCGGGACUGCUUUGGAAACUGUGUUGCUGGAGUGCUGGAGAGGCAAGCGGAAUUUCUGGUUGAGCGGUGAAAUGCGUAGAUAUUAGGAAGAACACCAGUGGCGAAGGCGGCUUGCUGGACAGUAACUGACGUUGAGGCUCGAAAGCGUGGGGAGCAAACAGGAUUAGAUACCCGGGUAGUC